rnacentral:rRNA from 1 species
UAGAGUUUGAUGGUGGCUCAGAACGAACGCUGGCGGCGUGCUUAACACAUGCAAGUCGAACGAGAAGCUGACUUCGGUCAGUGGACAGUGGCAGACGGGUGAGUAACGCGUGGCAACCUACCUUUCAGUACGGGACAACAGUUGGAAACGACUGCUAAUACCGUAUACGUCCUCCGGGAGAAAGAUUUAUCGCUGAUAGAUGGGGCCGCGUUAGAUUAGCUUGUUGGUGAGGUAAUGGCUCACCAAGGCGACGAUCUAUAGCUGGUCUGAGAGGAUGAUCAGCCACACUGGGACUGAGACACGGCCCAGACUCCUACGGGAGGCAGCAGUGGGGAAUAUUGGACAAUGGGCGCAAGCCUGAUCCAGCAACGCCGCGUGAAUGAUGAAGGCCUUAGGGUUGUAAAAUUCUUUCGCUAGGGAAGAUAAUGACUGUACCUAGUAAAGAAGCCCCGGCUAACUCCGUGCCAGCAGCCGCGGUAAUACGGAGGGGGCUAGCGUUGUUCGGAAUUACUGGGCGUAAAGCGUGCGUAGGCGGACUAGAAAGUCAGAGGUGAAAUCCCGGGGCUCAACCCCGGAACUGCCUUUGAAACUGUUAGUCUAGAGUUCUGGAGAGGUAAGUGGAAUUGCUAGUGUAGAGGUGAAAUUCGUAGAUAUUAGCAGGAACACCAGAGGCGAAGGCGGCUUACUGGACAGAUACUGACGCUGAGGCACGAAAGUGUGGGGAGCAAACAGGAUUAGAUACCCUGGUAGUCCACACCGUAAACGAUGAGAGCUAGUUGUCUGCAAGCAUGCUUGUAGGUGACGCAGCUAACGCAUUAAGCUCUCCGCCUGGGGAGUACGGUCGCAAGAUUAAAACUCAAAGAAAUUGACGGGGG